UGGGGAAUAUUGCACUAUGGGCGCAAGCCUGAUGCAGCCAUGCCGCGUGUGUGAAGAAGGCCUUUGGGUUGUAAAGCACUUUCAGCGGGGAGGAAGGCGGUGAGGUUAAUAACCUCAUCGAUUGACGUUACCCGCAUAAGUAGCACCGGCUAACUCCGUGCCAGCAGCCGCGGUAAUAUGGAGGGUGCAAGCCUUAAGCGUGAUUACUGGGCGUAAAGCGAACGAAGGCUGUCUGUCAAGUCGGAUGUGAAAUCCCCGGGCUCAACCUGGGAACUGGAUUCGAAACUGGUAGGCUAGAGUCUUGUAGAGGGAGGUAGAAUUCCAGGUGCAGCGGUGAAAUGCGUAAAGAUCAAGAGGAAUACCAGUGGCGGAGGCGGCCCCCUGGACAAAAACUGACGCUCAGGUGUGAAAGCGUGGGGAGCAAACAGG
rnacentral:rRNA from 1 species